CCGCACGGGUGAGUAACACGUAUCCAACCUGCCGUCUACUCUUGGACAGCCUUCUGAAAGGAAGAUUAAUACAAGAUGGCAUCAUGAGUCCGCAUGUUCACAUGAUUAAAGGUAUUCCGGUAGACGAUGGGGAUGCGUUCCAUUAGAUAGUAGGCGGGGUAACGGCCCACCUAGUCUUCGAUGGAUAGGGGUUCUGAGGGGAAGGUCCCCCACAUUGGAACUGAGACACGGUCCAA
rnacentral:rRNA from 1 species